rnacentral:piRNA from 1 species
GAUGUGUGUUCUCUGUAUAAAGACUGC